rnacentral:rRNA from 1 species
CAUGCAAGUCGAGCGAGAGGGGGUAGCAAUAUUUAGUUCCACGGCGCACGGGUGAGUAACACGUGGAUAACCUGCCUCGAAGUGGGGAAUAACCCCGGGAAACCGGAGCUAAUACCGCAUAUUCUGACGAGAUCUGCGGAUUUUGUCAGGUCCCUUGCAAUUCGCUUUGAGAGGGGUCCGCGGCUGAUUAGCUAGUUGGUGAGGUAAUGGCUCACCAAGGCCACGAUCAGUAGCCGGUCUGAGAGGACGGUCGGCCACACUGGAACUGAGACACGGUCCAGACUCCUACGGGAGGCAGCAGUGGGGAAUUUUUCGCAAUGGGGGCAACCCUGACGAAGCAACGCCGCGUGGGUGAUGAAGUAUUUCGGUACGUAAAACC